CAUCUGUGGGUAGCCCUGUGAUGAAGUUCUGCUCAAUGUGGUGCAAAAACAGACCCCGGGGGCUGCUGGGAAAUAUUCUGCUCUCUGAUGGAGAGACGGAUGGGUAAGGUGCUCUGCAUAUGUCAUUUACAGGUGUGGAUGUGGUAUCCAAUCCAAGUACAGCCCCAAACUGCCUGACUGACAGCUCUACUUCCUGCCUAUCAGAGCCUCAAGUUGUCACAUAAGAGGUUUGGGGUCCUCUGUUCCAGCCACACGUUGGAGCCCUGGGGCCCCAGAGGCAGAGGGUAGAGGAGCCAUUGUGAGUGGCCUGCCCAGCCAAAUUUCUGUGAGUUCAGCCUCUGUCAUUCCUUUUCUGUGCUCACAUAAAAAUCUCAAGUGAGAUCCAGGCAGCCAAAACUCCGAACUAAGGAAGACAGUCCUUUCAAUCCCUGGGACAAAGAAAAGAAAAGAAAAAAAAGAAAAAGAAAGACAAUCCAUAGCACCAUUAGUUCCCAAAGUUGGGAGAGCUAUGCUACGAGGCAAUAGCUAAUCAAGAACACCCACCUCCCUCAAUCUGUAAGAGAGAAAGGAUUAGAACUCAGGGCUUCUUCCCUGAAGUUUAAGAAUAUUUGGAGGAUAUUUUCCUUCCUUUUGUUAGAACCCAGGCAGUCAGGUUAGAGAGAAAAACACAACAGUAUUUACAAGGCUCAUGGGCUUCCUCCUGGGGCUCUGAGAGGCAAAAGGCAGAGCUGCCAGGCGCUUACAGGCUGCACUUGGUCUGCAUCUGGAUCUCCUGACUGGCAGUGGCAAGGUCACACUGCAGAAGGGCAUGUGAGAUUCAUCCUCAGACGGUGCCGCAGCAGGGAGCAGGAGGAGCCCAAGAAGCCUGCGGGCCUCAAAGGACUGAGGUAUCAUCGCCUCCCAGCAAGUCUGUGUCCUCACUGUUUAUCUGAAGGAAGUCAAGGCAGAGGGGUGAGCGCUACCCGUGAAGCUGUGUCAUGCAGGGACAUGUGGAGAGGAAAGGCUUCCCUUUGGACAACAACCACCAACUGGCUGCAGAGAGCUCUGGGAACGUCUCCAGUGACUGUCUUUGGAGGAGGCCAGAGAGGCGGCAGUCCCGGGGGUGGGCAAAGGUGCCAGUUGAACUCCUCAAACCUUCAUCUCAUGUGUUUGGGAGCUGAUUCUCCCUGGGAGCCCCCUCCCUGCGAGUGGCGUGGACAAGACUCAGCACCUGCUCUGCCCCGGCUCAGGGGUGAGGGAAUAUGAGCAGCGAGGCUCCCGGAGGUAACGGAAGUACUCACUCCAGUGCACAGGACUGAUCCCUCCUCUGCCCUCCCUUCUCUCCCCUUCCUCUCCCCUUCUUUGCCCUCCCCUCCUCUCCUUUUUUCUUUCCCUCUGGAUCUGCUAAGGCUAUAACCUUCCCCAAAGUCCCAAGCUGCAUCUCUCCAAGACUCACUGACUAGAAUUUGCCUCUUGCUUACUUCCAGCCCCCAGCACCUAGAAGGGAUGUAGCAUCACCAAGGAGCUGAAUGUGUAAACAGGAAGUCACUACCAUGGAUCAGAAGCCAAGUGUAGAAGAUCAUAGCUGAUAUUUUCUUAACAAAAACAGAGAAAGAAACAGAAUAAAACACACCAGCAUAGGAUGCUCAUGGGAAGCACAAAUAAUCAAAUAAACUGUUUCCAGCUCUGUGUGUGUGUGUGUGUGUGUGUGUGUGUGUGUGUACUGACUGGGACAUAACAUAAAAUGUGUAUUUUUGUACAUAUUGGGUAAAAGCACUGACAACUUGUCACUUGAGCUAAGUGUUUGGCAUGAACUGACAGUAAGUCAUCCAACAGUUGACCAUUCCAGAGUUGUGCUUAAACGUCCCUUUCUUAAGGACUGUGCUCCCUGAAUUCCAUACCCCGCACUUACCCCACAAAGCCUUGGCUCUCUAUCACAAAUGGUCAAACUCUUAUGACCAGUGUAAGAAUCUGCUGCCUUCCUCCCCAACCAGGGGCCCCUCCUGGAAGACCAGAGACCUGAUCCUCUUUGUCCACAGUGGCUCCUAACUAAUUUGGCAGCAAGAGGGGAGGGCCUGGUGGAAGCUGUAGAUAACUGAACACACUGAUUCCAAUGCUAACUUUAUGGCUUCUUGGCCACAUUACAGAUAACCAUAUAGACCACUUCUCUAAACCUCAGUUUCCCCCUCUAAAAUGGGAGGAGCCAUGCCCACUCAACCAAAUUCACAUCUAAUAGAGGAGAAAGUGGUCUGUGCGCGUAUGUUGAGUUAUUGAAUGGGCUCCUUUUCCCAUUUUGAUAGCUUUGCCUCCUAACAACUGAGGGCAGCCUGAUUCACACGUCACACAGUUAUCUAGUGGUAGGGGACAGCCACGCUGUGCUUAGUGGAUAACACAGCAGCCAGCAUUCUAAUGCUCAUGGGCUCUGCAGGACAGGGUUGAAGAAGGCGGAGGGGGAGUGGCUUGACUUUGCUUCACUUUAUCUUGAGCCUCCACUGGGAGUGGCUCAAAGAUUGGUGCUGGAAUCUAGAGACUGCUUCACUGGCCUGGCUGACAUCUGUGUCCAGAUGUGGGCCUGAACUGUUGACCAAAAUCCAGUUGCUGUAUGAUUCCUCUGUGGCUUGGGCUUCUCAUCUCACAGUGUGGCAUCCGGGUUCUGAGUAUGGACAGCCUGUCCUAGAAGUCACACGGCAUUGUAUCUGCCAGGAUCUGUCCAUUGAAGCAGUCACUAGUCCAUCUGCAUUUAAGCAAAGUGGACGUAGACCCCAUCCCUUAAGGAAAGAUAGUUAACAGGAGCCAGUGUAAGAAAAACCUCUUCCAUGUGGAAUGAAUGCCUGUGUCAGUGAAUAAACAAGAGAGUGAAUGAGCAGGUGAAGGAAGCCCCCCUUCUUCAUGCCUGUAUCCCAGGGUCCAGCAAACUCAGCAUAUGCUGCUGAAUGACGGAGUGAGUGGAGACCCUCUGAGGACAGCAAGGCCUGACAACAUGCACAGCCUGGUGUCAUCCCACCUCCACCCUAGAAGUCACGUGUCCAGGACCAAGGGCAUCUGGGCUGUAUAUUUUGUUGAGUGACUUCAGGAGAACCAGACUCAACCACCAGGCUACUGGCAGCAUCCACCCUGGGGAAGGAUCCAGGGGCUGACACCAUCAGUGAUUUGUUGGCUGCUGCCAGUGAAGGAAAUACUUCUCUCACUGACACCAACCCUGUGCCCGGCUGGGAGAAUGUUCAUCUGUUCUGCGUGGAACCAAGACAAGUGGCAACUUCAGGCUUCUUACAUCAUUUCUAGGGUCACCUCUGGUGAAAUUGCUGGGAUUGAGGACAGAGGCAGAGAUGGGCAGAAAUUAUGAGAAGAAUUUAUCCAAGGUAAGUGAAGCUUAGUUAGAUGGCUGUUACUCA
rnacentral:lncRNA from 1 species